rnacentral:rRNA from 1 species
AGCGAACGCUGGCGGCAGGCUUAACACAUGCAAGUCGAGCGCCCCGCCAGUGGGGCGGCAGACUUGAGGGUAACACGUGGGGACCUACCUUUUGGUUCGGCACAACUUAGGUAUACUUCAGCUAAUACCUGGUAAGCCCUUCCGUGGAAAGAUUUAUCGCCUAAGGAUUGGCCCGAGUCUGAUUAGCUCGUUGGUGAGUUAACUGCUCCCCAAUGCGACGAUCAGUAGAUGGGCUGAGAGGAUGAGCAGCCACACUGGGACUGAGACACGGUCCAGACUACUACGGGAGGGAGGAGAGGGGAAUAUAGGAAAAGGGGGGGAGCGAUGAACCAGCUAUGCCGGGUGAGUGAUGAAGGCCGUAGGGAAGAAAAGCACGUUUGUCCGGGAAGAUAAUGACGGUACCGGGAGAAUAAGCCCCGGCUAACUUCGUG